ACUCCUACGGGAGGCAGCAGUGGGGAAUUUUGGACAAUGGGGGCAACCCUGAUCCAGCCAUGCCGCGUGCGGGAAGAAGGCCUUCGGGUUGUAAACCGCUUUUAGCCGGGACGAAAGCGCCACGGAUAACACCCGUGGCGGUUGACGGUACCGGCGGAAUAAGCACCGGCUAACUACGUGCCAGCAGCCGCGGUAAUACGUAGGGUGCGAGCGUUAAUCGGAAUUACUGGGCGUAAAGCGUGCGCAGGCGGUUCGUUGUGUCGGUGGUGAAAGCCCCGGGCUUAACCUGGGAAUGGCCGUCGAAACUGGCGAACUGGAGUGUGGCAGAGGGGGGUGGAAUUCCGCGUGUAGCAGUGAAAUGCGUAGAGAUGCGGAGGAACACCGAUGGCGAAGGCAGCCCCCUGGGCUGACACUGACGCUCAGGCACGAAAGCGUGGGGAGCAAACAGGAUUAGAUACCCUGGUAGUCCACGCCCUAAACGAUGUCGACUGGGUGUUGGGGAAGCGAUUUCCCAGUACCGUAGCUAACGCGUGAAGUCGACCGCCUGGGGAGUACGGCCGCAAGGUUAAAACUCAAAGGAAUUGACGG
rnacentral:rRNA from 1 species